rnacentral:misc_RNA from 1 species
AACAUCGCGCACCUGCGGGAACCUGCGGAAGGAUCAUCAUUGAAAACAAAUUUGGACAAGGGGAUUGUGAUUGACGGGGGGGAGGGGAAAGUUUUAUUUCCUGAGCCUUGAGAGAACAACCUCUUGGACAAAAACAACCAAUCUUCAUGACUAGGAAAAAACACAGUAAAGUAAACCAGUGGUUUGGGGGGGGGCAUAAACAACAAACAAGUUCUUGUCUGACAAGUAGUGUUUGGUGAU